UACGUAGGGGGCAAGCGUUGUCCGGAUUUAUUGGGCGUAAAGAGCGUGUAGGCGGCCGUGUAGGUCCGUUGUGAAAACUCGAGGCUCAACCUCGAGACGUCGAUGGAAACCACACGGCUAGAGUCCGGAAGAGGAGAGUGGAAUUCCUGGUGUAGCGGUGAAAUGCGCAGAUAUCAGGAAGAACACCUAUGGCGAAGGCAGCUCUCUGGGACGGUACUGACGCUGAGACGCGAAAGCGUGGGGAGCGAACAGG
rnacentral:rRNA from 1 species